rnacentral:rRNA from 1 species
GGCGAACGGGUGAGUAACGCGUGGGUGACCUGCCCCAAAGUGUGGGAUAACAGUCCGAAAGGAUUGCUAAUACCGCAUGUGGUCGCUGAGUUUAGAAGUUAGCGACUAAAGCAGCAAUGCGCUUUGGGAGGGACCUGCGUCCCAUCAGCUAGUUGGUAAGGUAACGGCUUACCAAGGCGACGACGGGUAGGGGACCUGAGAGGGUGGCCCCCCACAAUGGAACUGAAACACGGUCCAUACACCUACGGGUGGCAGCAGYAGGGAAUAUUGCACAAUGGGCGAAAGCCUGAUGCAGCAACGCCGCGUGCGCGAAGAAGGUCUUCGGAUCGUAAAGCGCUUUUCUGGGAGAUGAGAAAGGACAGUAUCCCAGGAAUAAGUCUCGGCUAACUACGUGCCAGCAGCCGCGGUAACACGUAGGAGGCGAGCGUUAUCCGGAUUCACUGGGCGUAAAGCGCGUGCAGGCGGUUCGGUAAGUUGGGCGUGAAAUCUCCCGGCUCAACUGGGAGAGG